UUUUCCUUAGUAUAAAAAGUAUAAUUAAUUUCCAAUUAAAAGGUUUAAAUUUAAGGAAAAA
rnacentral:tRNA from 1 species